rnacentral:rRNA from 1 species
AUGGGUACUGCAGGGGCCACGAGCGAGGUGGCCACCCUGAAGGAGGCCGUGUCCGCGGCUGAACGCAGUGCGGCCGCAGAACGGACAGAGCGAGAAAAGCAGGAGGCGCAGGUGGCGGCGGUUCGGCAAGAGCUCCAGGCUCUCAUGGAAAAGCAUGAGAGUUUGGAGCGUGACUCAAAGACUCGAGAGUCCGAGCUUGCCUCGGCUCUCGAAAGUGCCAAAGCCGCCAAGGCCGAGGCCCAUAAGUCCCUUCAGGAGAUUGAGUCGGUGAAGAAGAUAGCGGCGGGUAAGGCAUUUUUCAUGCAAAGCAAGGAUGAGAAUGUAAAUUACGUGUUACUUACCCGAAUUCGGAGCUCUCCAGGGGCGUUUGCAGAUCUGCCUCGCAGUGUGUCUGAUGCCGCCGCAUUCUACCGAGCCGAGGAGGGGAGCUCGACGGAGAAGGUCUUCUGGUCUCAGUACGCUGAGGCCGGCCAUCCGGUGCCCCCUAGCGACCAGCUGAAGCAGCUGGUCGAGCUCCACAAGGUAGCAGAGCAGGCCAUGAAGGGCCUCAUAGUCCGGCUGUGGCCUGGAGAGGCCAUGCCUGGGAGCUACUUCGGCCUCGUGCGGCGGUUGGUGGAUGCGUGCCCCUGGGUGGAGGUUGUCAAGCGCUCUGCCUGUAUUGAAGGUGCUCGUCGGGCCCUUGCCCGCGCAAAGGUGCAUUGGGGCAAGCUGGAUGUGAAGAAGCUAAUCACUGACGCGCCACCAGCGGGCAAGGAAUAUUGUACGCCCGAGAUGUACUAUAAGACUGUCCUGAAGGGUGCCCGCAAGAUUGCGGAUGAGUGCCCCAGGGAUGUAAUUAUUGAGUAA